rnacentral:lncRNA from 1 species
CACCAGCAUAGGUCAGAGGGGAUAUUGUAUGUAACUGGUGACAUUUGAAAGAGACAUAUUGGACAGAAAUGACAUACGUGAAAGCUAAGAUACAAUAUAUUUAAUUUUCUAAGAAUUCAGUUCAAGAUAAGGAAGCUGAGAUGUAGAGCUGAAGUGUCUUGCCCAAGAUCAUUUGUCUAAGACAGAAAAGGGGAGAAAAAGAAGAAGAAAAGGGAGAGGAAAAGGUAAAAGAAAAGAAGAGAAUGAAUUGCAGCUGAGGAAGUGGAAGAGCGAGAAGCGCUUCCAGAUACCAGACUUAACAGGUGGAUUUUUGGGUUUGCUGAAGAAGAAAAAGAAGGAGAAGGAGAAGGAGAAGAAGAAGAGAAGUGUGAUUAACAAGAAAAAAACUUAUUUGGGGGCUAUGAACACCUUGAAUAUUUAACAGAAUAUCAGCUACUCAUCUGUAACCAUUCACUACAUAGCUAAACUUUUAGUAAUAAUGUAGGUAUUCUCUGGCCAAGAGAAAGAUAGGAUGUGUGUGUGUGUGUGUGUGUGUGUGUGUGUGUGUGUGUGUGUGUGUG